GCCUAGCCAUAAACUUUGAUUAUCCGCCAGAGUACUACGAGCUACAGCUUAAAACUCAAAGGACUUGGCGGUGCUUUACACCCCCCUAGAGGAGCCUGUUCUAUAAUCGAUAAUCCCCGAUAAACCUCACCACCUAUUGCCAAUACAGCCUAUAUACCACCGUCCAGCCCGCCCUUUAAAGGGUAAACAGCAGGCAUAAUUAUAAACAUAAAAACGUCAGGUCAAGGUGUAGCAGAUAAGGUGGAAAGAAAUGGGCUACAUUUUCUAACUUAGAAAACACGGAUGAUUCUAUGAAAUAGUUUCUGAAGGAGGAUUUAGCAGUAAAAAGAAAUAAGAAUGUUCUUUUUAAGACGGCAAUAAAGCGCGC
rnacentral:rRNA from 1 species